GCUGGUGGAACGCACCCCUCGCCAAGUCUUCACCCAAAUGAGACGAGCGGCGUAACCUUGGUGCAUGAAGGGAGUGUCCCCCCCUCCGCACGCCAACCCCUGAGGCAGUUCUGAUCAGCUCGCGGCCCGGAGCAGACGUGCGCGUACCGUGGGGAGCCUUCAAGUUUUGUCUCUGAUUCCUCACGACUGGAUUCUUCUCCGUUUCCAUAUGCCGUGGUAACGCGGGCCUGACGGCCGGAAACUCCCACCCGCCCCGACACGUGGCUGGGUAAUCCCCGCGCCGACGGGGCAGAUAGCCGGGGGCUACAUAAUCGGCGCGCGUCCGACCAGAGCUACUCCCGUCCGUCAUGUCCGGCCGACUCUUGCUGCUUCUGUGCGUGCUGGCGGCGGGGACAGUGGCGGCUGCGGGGGCGGCGACCACCAACAAGACGCCUCACUGCCCGCCGCUGGACCCCAACACGGCCGACUGUGCGCCGAGCUGUGCUUCGACUGCACGGAGAACCAGCUGUGCUGCAGCAACGGCUGUGGUCACGUGUGCAAGGGCCCCGUGUACUACUAGCCGGCAGCUGGCUGCUGCAUGGUGGUGAUGACUGCUUGAAAAAUGCUUCUGGAAUAACAACUGUAUGGAGAGCAAUUACUUGAAUUAUGAACAUUAUGAAAUUAUUUUCAAAUUAAGGGCAGAAUAUUGAUGUUACAAUAAAAUUUAUCAAAAUUUU